CACUCUCCUUUCUUAAACCGUGUUUUAAAUCCUAUUACUUUUUGCUUGUAUAAGAAAGCCACUCAAAUUGUGUUAAAAAAAAAAACCAAAACAGUGUGUAAUGGCACACCUCAAAAAAGCUACAAGCUCCCUCUUGUGUAAUAACGGUACGGCUAGAGGUGAGAUCAGAGUUCCUGACUCCAAGGCUGUUCCCCAGUUAAUUCCAAACAGAUUACAGAUUUUGGACUUUUAGGUUAAGGAUGCUCAGCAGGUAAAAAUCCAUACAAACACUCCAAGAAUGAAACACUUUGCUUACAGGGUACUUUACCAGAAUUGCAGUCUUACAUAACUACAAAUUAUUAGUUAUUAUCAGUCACUGUACCAUUGACAAAACCAAAGAUUGCUAAUGCAGCCUUCAGAAUCACUCUCUUCUGAUUUUAAGAUGACAGACAAGUGACUUGCUAGUAAGUACUUUAGGAACACAUAUUUAGUUAUGCCAAGAGUCUCUUCAUAAGAGACUAUAGAACUCAUUCCAUUUAGGCAUGAGGACUUGGGAGCUUGGAAUACCCAGGAAGGUUUGUGACCACACAUACAAUAUAGUUAGAUGGUAAAACUAAAGCCAGGGAGUGGAUCGAUAAAUUAUCAGUUGUUGACUUAUCUGAAAGAAAAGAGAAUUGGGUACAGGAUGAAAGAAUCAAAACACGUUCAAGGCAGCCUUUAGUUCCACACAGGCCAGAAGCAGGUAGAGUUCUGUGACUUGGAGCCCAGCCACAUCUACUUACUGAGUUCCUGUAUAGCCAGAGCUACAUAGUAAGACCCUGUCACAAAAACAGAAUAAACAAACCCACUUGGUUUAAGGGGCAAAUGCAGCUUUGUACAGUAGUGUGUGUGCAGUACACUGAGGCUUGAGGAGCAGCACUAGGGGAGAGACAGGAGGAGAAAGAAAUAGUCUAUCUGGUUAGGGACCAUCUGAUUGGAGAAGAAACACUGAGAAAGUCACCGUAAGAAAGGAAAGGUAGAAAACACAGGGGGAUUUAAAAAGGGCAUCUUUCACCAAGAAAGGGAAAGCUAUUGUUUGAGUUACUUGUGUAAGAAAGGAAAGGUAGAAAACACAGGGGGAUUUAAAAAGGGCAUCUUUCACCAAGAAAGGGAAAGCUAUUGUUUGAGUUACUUGUG